UACGUAGGGUGCAAGCGUUGUCCGGAAUUAUUGGGCGUAAAGGGCUCGUAGGCGGUCCAUCGCGUCGGGAGUGAAAAGCUGGGGCUUAACCCCAGUCCUGCUUCCGAUACGGGUGGACUAGAGGUAGGCAGGGGAGAAUGGAAUUCCCGGUGUAGCGGUGAAAUGCGCAGAUAUCGGGAAGAACACCCGUGGCGAAGGCGGUUCUCUGGGACGGUACUGACGCUGAGACGCGAAAGCGUGGGGAGCGAACAGG
rnacentral:rRNA from 1 species